AGGCAUUCAGGCAGCGAGAGCAGAGCAGCGUAGAGCAGCACAGCUGAGCUCGUGAGGCAGGAGACUCAGCCCGAGGAAAUCGCAGAUAAGUUUUUAAUUAAAAAGAUUGAGCAGUAAAAAGAAUUAGAACUCUAAACUUAAGCUAAUAGAGUAGCUUAUCGAAAUAUUACUUAGUCUUAAUAAUCUAAGAAGAUCUUAAGAGAUAACAUGAAGGCUUAUUUAAACAGUUUGAAAAAGGAAAUGAGGAGAAAAGUAUUUGUACUGUAUAAUGGAGGCUGACCAGAGCAGUUUAGGAGAUUGUAAAGGGAGGUUUUGUGAAGUUCUAAAAGGUUCUAGUUUGAAGGUCGGCCUUGUAGAUUAAAACGAAGGUUACCUAAAUAGAAUCUAAGUGGCAUUUAAAACAGUAAAGUUGUAGAGAAUAGUUUGAAAAUGAGGUUAGGCUAGUAUUUGGAGAAAGAAGAUUAGAAAAUGGAAGUGAAAGACGA
ensembl:lincRNA Malat1 metastasis associated lung adenocarcinoma transcript 1 (non-coding RNA)